UUAAGCAAAAUAUCACGACUAUAAGGAUCACAUGUGCCCCAAUGUCCCCUCCUCUAGCUCCACCAGUGCUUUUUGUACCAGCUUAGACAUCUCACGUGUUCUAUUAGCAAAUGCAUGUUAGUCUGUUUCAUUUUUGUUUUCACCAAUGAGGCAUCCAAAAGUUAAAGACACUUCAUAGCUGUAGGGGGAGCCCUUGAGCAAGGAAGAGCUCAAUUUUUUAUGACUUCAAUCACUCCCCAGUAUACUGUCACAACUUCUCCAAACAACUCAACUCCUCAGUGCCAUUUUCUGUUAACUUGCACAUUUUAAAUGACAUGACCCAGGU